AAAGCUCUUAAAUCACAGGAGGACGUGAGCUUUUACCAAAAACGCACUGAAACACACAUCCACACACAUUCUGACCGCAGACGAAUCGGCACACCAUUUAAAGCUCCAUGCCAGGUUAAUCUGGGCUGUGUAAACAGACGAGGGGAGAGAAGCUGCUCCUGGGCCUAAAGGAAACAGCAGCAGGAACCUGUAAUGGCUCCUCGCAGGAGCCCACAUCUGCCAGCGCCAACCUGCAGCCUGUGCUUACACAGCUACACGAUUACACCAAACACGGCCAGGUUGCAACAUCAUCGCUAGCUGCGAGCGGGAAGGAUGGGAUUAAUCUGACACCGCAAACAUUCAGAUCGAUCUGAAAGAGCAGAGACGCAUGAGCAGCAAACUGAGCAUCAACCUGAGAGCCGUCCCCUUUUAAUCUUGUGCGAGUUCACCUGUAAAACCACCGCGCUCGGCUGUGAUUCACACCGGGCUGAGAAUCAAACCCUACGGUGAAAGAAGCAACAGUCUGAGGCAGAUGUCAUCCUUUAUAUUUAGUUGAAUCAAGUUAAUUACAGCACAUGCAAUUCCUCUAAGUGUUUUUUUUAAAGUAAAAAGAAUUCAAGACAAUUCAGUAACAUUUGAAGUUAAAAACAGAAUAUAAUUUGAUUCUUUUUGCUGUAGUGUGGUAUUCAUAUCAAAGCAGGAAAACCGCAUGAUGUAAAUGUAUUGUUUUAACGCACCGGUAACUCUUAUUUUCCUUCCUCCCUUCCUUCCUCAGGCCUCAUUUUCUCUGUGCCGACUGACUUUAUUUUCAUUGUGCCCAUGGUGACAGAUGAUACACACAGAUUCACACCUCACAACGAGCCAUUUCCUGAUGGGCCCCCGGAGCAAGGAGCCGUUUAACAUGUUCUGGAUAACAGGAAGGAGGUCAGUGUGGUGUACAGUAAAGCCUGCAGGUUAUGGAGCUGACACAGAUGAGUGCUGCGGCCUUGUGGAGAGGACAGGUACUGGGACACGCAGGGAAGAAGGGAAAUAAGGAGUCUGUGUUAUGGACUGUUGGUUGGACAUAAGAAGCAAUUUGAAGACUCCCACUUCACACUCUAAAUCACGCUGAACUGUGAAAAAUGCUCCACCACAGUUUCCCAAACAGUUAAUCAACUAAUCAUGAAAAUAUUUGGAAGAUUAAUCAAUAAUGAAAAUGAGGGUUGGUUGCAGCCCUCAAUAUAACAUCUCCUCAUUAUCAAGAUGUAAACUGUUGUCAGUGUGACACAUUUAAUAUCAUUCCAUUAUGUGUUGUAGACCGUUCAAACAUCUGAUAGGGAUUUGUUAUGCAGAAAUGUUGUAGUUAAAUUUGUUCUUGAAAAAUCUCCCUGAACAUCUCAAAUGUACAAAACAAGAUCGCGACACAUUAUCAACACCCUGCUCUGUGAACAGCUGUGACUGUUUGUCCAUGUCACUGAGUACCUGUCUGUCUUUUCUUGAAGCUGUUGUGUUUCAUCGUGACCCAGAAGAAGCCUGUGAAGAAGAUAUUGUGUUGAGGGCAUUAAAAGAAAUCAUUAUAUUUAUACUGAUUUAAAGUCCACUCACUGUAUUUCAUUUAAACAACUUUUAUUUAUUAAGUUUUUACAAAUAAAGUAACAAAUUUCAUUGUAUUGUAGCGCAAAGCGCAACUUUUUUUAAUAUGAAGCUUGAACACUCUAUACUUAGUGCAAAACAUACCUUUAAAGGCUGCCGAUGACUCCCUACACGUAUUUUAUUGUUUUGUUUUUUCUCUCAUUCAUUCAUCCAGGUGUUGUUUUUUUUUUUUAAUCCAACCGACUUUGUACAAUGUCAAACACGAUACAGAAAAAAUGAAACCACUGAGUUAAGUUAGGUGCCGCUAGAGACGUUAAAACAGCUGAUAAAAACGAGUGAGAAAUU